ensembl:ncRNA mir-4 mir-4 stem loop
UUGCAAUUAGUUUCUUUGGUCGUCCAGCCUUAGGUGAUUUUUCCGGUCAUAAAGCUAGACAACCAUUGAAGUUCGUUGUGG